rnacentral:rRNA from 1 species
ACCGGCGCACGGGUGCGUAACGCGUAUGUAACCUGCCUCACACUGGGGGAUAGCCUUCCGAAAGGGAGAUUAAUACCGCAUAACAUCAAGCGACUACCUGGUUGCUUGAUUAAAGCUUCGGUGGUGUGAGAUGGACAUGCGUAUGAUUAGCUAGUUGGCGGGGUAACGGCCCACCAAGGCGACGAUCAUUAGGGGUUCUGAGAGGAAGAUCCCCCACACUGGUACUGAGACACGGACCAGACUCCUACGGGAGGCAGCAGUGAGGAAUAUUGGUCAAUGGGCGGAAGCCUGAACCAGCCAUGUCGCGUGCAGGAAGACGGCCCUAUGGGUUGUAAACUGCUUUUGUAUGGGAAGAAACGACGGUACGUGUACUGUUUUGCCGGUACCAUACGAAUAAGGAUCGGCUAACUCCGUGCCAGCAGCCGCGGUAAUACGGAGGAUCCAAGCGUUAUCCGGAUUUAUUGGGUUUAAAGGGUGCGUAGGCGGGAGAUUAAGUCAGUGGUGAAAGUUUGCGGCUCAACCGUAAAAUUGCCAUUGAUACUGGUUUUCUUGAGUACAGUUGAGGUAGGCGGAAUGUGGUGUGUAGCGGUGAAAUGCUUAGAUAUACCACAGAACACCGAUUGCGAAGGCAGCUUACUAAGUUGUAACUGACGCUGAAGCACGAAAGCAUGGGGAUCAAACAGGAUUAGAUACCCUGGUAGUCCAUGCCGUAAACGAUGAUCACUAGCUGUUUG